rnacentral:rRNA from 1 species
UACGAAGGGGGGCUAGCGUUGCUCGGAAUCACUGGGCGUAAAGCGCACGUAGGCGGCUUUUUAAGUCAGGGGUGAAAUUCCUGGAGCUCAACUCCAGAACUGCCUUUGAUACUGAGAAGCUCGAGUCCGGGAGAGGUGAGUGGAACUGCGAGUGUAGAGGUGAAAUUCGUAGAUAUUCGCAAGAACACCAGCGGCGAAGGCGGCUCACUGGCCCGGUACUGACGCUGAGGUGCGAAAGCGUGGGGAGCAAACAGG